rnacentral:lncRNA from 1 species
UGUAAUCCCAGGUACUCAGGAGGCUGAGGCAAGAGAAUCGCUUGAGCCUGGAGGCAGAGGUUGCAGUGAGCUGAGAUCGCACCACUGCACUCCAGCCUGGAUGACAAAGCAAAACUCAGUAAAAAAGCAGAGGAGAGAUCAUUCCAGGAAGAGAAUGCGGGUUAUGUAAAGACUCUGAGACACAAAAGGUGCUGAGUUGUUUGAGAACUUAAAAAGAGGCAGUGUGGCAGGAGUUAACUUUUGGACAAGAGACAUUUGCAAUGCCUGUGAGGUAUCCAAAGGGAGAUGUCAAGUAGACAGUUGAAUUCACCAAAGUGAGUCAGGGAAGUUUUAGCUGGAGAUAUUCAUUUGGUGUCAUCAGAACAUAAAUGUUAUUUAAAGCCACGGGGAUAGACAAGAUUGCUUAGGGAGAUAAUAUGAAGAAAGACAAGAGGAGGACCCAGGACCAAGUCAUGAGGAACUCCACACUUGUCUCAGGUGGAAAAGAAGGCAUCUUCAGAGAAGGCUGAGAAGUAGCAGCCAGAGAGAAGUCUCUUCCUUUCACUCUGCUGAGUGAAGCCCUUCCUGCCCUCAGGCUGGACCAUGGCUUCCAUGCUGCCCCUCUUUUCAAGGCUGCUUGUCUACAGUUCUACAGGUUUCUAGGCCCUUGGUGAGUGAAGAGCAGUUCAUUACGAAAUGACCUCCAAGAACAAGGCUCAGCAUUCUCUGAAAUCUCAUGAAGCAGUGUAACCAGCUCUCAAGUAUCUUCCUGUGAACUAGCCACAGGGAGCCCUGGUAUUCCUUGAACAUGCAUACCUUUCCCAGCGUGAGGGACAUGGACCGUGCCGUGCGAGGGACCCCAUCUUCUGCAGCAGGAGGGAGCAGAGAAGAGAACACAGGGAUUCCUGUUGCUAAAAGGUCUGUUUUCUCCUGCUAGCCACCCUCAUCAGCCAGAGUUCAAACCCUGACAGUGCCCAUGGAGAGAUCUGGUCCAAGGCACCAACCUCUUCCUGCUGGACUGAGAAAGAGCCUCCUACUGUGUCUCUCUUUACCUCAGCUUUUGCACACCUCCAAUAUAUUGUCCACUGAAGUCAGAAUAAUCUAAAAAUAAAGGCUGAUUACCUCAUGUGGUAUAAACUU